CCUACCUUUUGUUAUAGGAGUGUUGGCCAUGACCCUUAUGACGGAUGGGGAAAGACAUCACAUCCUUCCUCUCCUACUUGCAGAAAUAUGAAUACUCAAGGUUAAUGUCAAGGACGUUUGUUCCACUUCGCAUCUGAAUUGACAAGGAAUGGACUCUUCAGCUCUGACAGCAAAUCUCUCUUCAGAAGUCUGGAAAAGCAGAAAGAGAAGAAUGAAGAAAUGUCCACAAAACUGCUCCUAUCCUUUACACCACAUAGGACCAAACUCUUACCUUUCAUCAGUUUUCAGUUUGUACAUUAAUGUAUCCUGGUGAAGUUCCUCAACCACUUCUGCAACAUUCAAUUUUAAUUUAUAUUUGCCCACAUCAUUUCAUUUGUGAUUUGGACACAUGCAGGCUACUGAAUAUAAUGGAUACAAAUCUCUCACUGAUUCCCUUGAGCUAUUUCAUAGUUCUGCUUUCACAGGCAGGAGACAGUGAAGAAAUAAUGAUUCAGUUAUUUCUUAAAGAUUUCACAAUUCUACAUUCAAUAAAGAAUAUGUGAAUUCCUGGAAGUUAUG
rnacentral:lncRNA from 1 species